AGUGGAAUUGCUGGAUCAUAUGGUAAUUCUAUGCUUAACUUUUUGAGGAACUGCCAAACUGUUUUCCACAGUAGCUGUACCAUUUUACAUUCCCACCAGCAAU
rnacentral:pre_miRNA from 1 species